GCCAGGGUGGCAGAUUUAAUGCAGUGGAUUUAAGACCCACCUAUGGGCUAAAAUUAGCCCUCCUGGUU
rnacentral:tRNA from 1 species